rnacentral:rRNA from 1 species
GGACGAACGCUGGCGGCGUGCUUAACACAUGCAAGUCGAGCGGUAAGGCCCUUUCGGGGGUACACGAGCGGCGAACGGGUGAGUAACACGUGGGUGACCUGCCCUUAGCUCUGGGAUAAGCCUGGGAAACUGGGUCUAAUACCGGAAAUGACUCCAUGACGCAUGUUGUGGGGUGGAAAGCCUUGUGCGGCUAGGGAUGGGCCCGCGGCCUAUCAGCUUGUUGGUGGGGUGAUGGCCUACCAAGGCGACGACGGGUAGCCGGCCUGAGAGGGCGACCGGCCACACUGGGACUGAGACACGGCCCAGACUCCUACGGGAGGCAGCAGUGGGGAAUCUUGCGCAAUGGGCGAAAGCCUGACGCAGCGACGCCGCGUGGGGAUGACGGCCUCGGUU